rnacentral:rRNA from 1 species
AUUGAACGCUGGCGGCAGGCCUAACACAUGCAAGUCGAACGAGUGGCGGACGGGUGAGUAAUGUCUGGGAAACUGCAUGAUGGAGGGGGAUAACUACUGGAAACGGUAGAUAAUACCGCAUAACAUCAGAUGUGCCAAGAUGGGCUUGGCUAGUUGGUGGGGUAACGGCUCACCAAGGCGACGAUCCCUAGCUGGUCUGAGAGGAUGACCAGCCACACUGUAACUUCGACACUUUCCAGACUCCUACGGGAGGCAGCAGUGGGGAAUAUUGCACAAUGGUCGCAAGCCUGAUGCAGCCAUGCCGCGUGUAUGAAGAAGGCCUUCGGGUUGUAAAGUACUUUCAGCGGGGAGGCGUUACCCGCAGAAGAAGCACCGGCUAACUCCGUGCCAGCAGCCGCGGUAAUAC